rfam:Oryza rufipogon genomic scaffold, chr08
AAUAAGCGUAACCAUAAGUUUCCACGUACAACGUUGAUCGUCCGUCUUAUUUAAAUUUUUUUAUGAUUAUGCGUGACUUAUGUUUUUUAUUUUUUUUAAAAAAAAAAGUUAAAUAAGACGGAUAAUUAAAGUUGGACACGGAAACUCAUGACUACGCUUAUU